rnacentral:rRNA from 1 species
ACGAAGGGUGCAAGCGUUACUCGGAAUCACUGGGCGUAAAGCGUGCGUAGGCGGUUCGUUAAGUCUGCUGUGAAAGCCCUGGGCUCAACCUGGGAACUGCAGUGGAUACUGGCGGGCUAGAGUGUGGGAGAGGAAGGUGGAAUUCCCGGUGUAGCGGUGAAAUGCGUAGAGAUCGGGAGGAACACCAGUGGCGAAGGCGGCCAUCUGGAUCAACACUGACGCUGAGGCGCGAGAGCGUGGGGAGCAAACAG